CAAGGUGUAGUGCAGUCUGAUCAGCGCAUCUGUCUAGGGUACAGAGGGCCAUAGGUUCGAAUCCUGUCACCUUGA
rfam:Triticum aestivum genome assembly, contig: Triticum_aestivum_CS42_TGACv1_scaffold_500829_6BL